rnacentral:misc_RNA from 1 species
UACUCCGGGCCGGACGACG